AUUGAACGCUGGCGGCAUGCUUUACACAUGCAAGUCGAACGGUAACAGACCGCAAGGUGCUGACGAGUGGCGAACGGGUGAGUAAUGCAUCGGAACGUGCCCAGUCGUGGGGGAUAACGCAGCGAAAGCUGCGCUAAUACCGCAUACGAUCUAUGGAUGAAAGCGGGGGACCGUAAGGCCUCGCGCGAUUGGAGCGGCCGAUGUCAGAUUAGGUAGUUGGUGGGGUAAAGGCGCACCAAGCCAACGAUCUGUAGCUGGUCUGAGAGGACGACCAGCCACACUGGGACUGAGACACGGCCCAGACUCCUACGGGAGGCAGCAGUGGGGAAUUUUGGACAAUGGGCGCAAGCCUGAUCCAGCAAUGCCGCGUGCAGGAAGAAGGCCUUCGGGUUGUAAACUGCUUUUGUACGGAACGAAACGGUCCUGGUUAAUACCUGGGGCUAAUGACGGUACCGUAAGAAUAAGCACCGGCUAACUACGUGCCAGCAGCCGCAGUAACAC
rnacentral:rRNA from 1 species